rnacentral:rRNA from 1 species
AUUGAACGCUGGCGGCAUGCUUUACACAUGCAAGUCGAACGGCAGCACAGGGAGCUUGCUCCUGGGUGGCGAGUGGCGAACGGGUGAGUAAUGUAUCGGAACGUGCCUGGUAGUGGGGGAUAACUACUCGAAAGAGUGGCUAAUACCGCAUGAGAUCUUUGGAUGAAAGCGGGGGACCUUCGGGCCUCGUGCUACUGGAGCGGCCGAUAUCAGAUUAGGUUGUUGGUGGGGUAAAGGCCUACCAAGCCUGCGAUCUGUAGCUGGUCUGAGAGGACGACAGCCACACUGGGACUGAGACACGGCCCAGACUCCUACGGGAGGCAGCAGUGGGGAAUUUUGGACAAUGGGCGCAAGCCUGAUCCAGCAAUGCCGCGUGCAGGACGAAGGCCUUCGGGUUGUAAACUGCUUUUGUACAGAACGAAAAGUCUCUGGCUAAUAUCUAGAGAUCAUGACGGUACUGUAAGAAUAAGCACCGGCUAACUACGUG